CCUGCCUAACCACCCUAGGUGACAUUUCCAGGUGGCAUCGGCCUUGUUUCUGCUGCAGUCUUUAGGUUUGCCUACAAGGACGAGUAUGAGAAGUUUAAGCUUUACCUGACCAUAAUCCUGCUUCUGGGUGCUGUGGCAUGUCGGUUCGUCCUUCACUACAGGGUGACCGAUGAAGUCUUCAACUUCCUGCUCGUGUGGUAUUACUGCACCUUGACCAUUCGGGAGAGCAUCCUCAUCAGCAAUGGCUCCAGGUAACUAGAGGCCUGGCUGGCGGGACCGUCAUUUGGGGGAACAGGGAGCUGACGAGAAACGUUGACACCCAGGGAGGGGAGAC